UACGAAGGGGGCGAGCGUUUGUUCGGAUUUACUGGGCGUAAAGGGCGCGCAGGCGGCGCAUUUUGUCAGGCGUGAAAGCCCCGGGCUUAACCUGGGAACUGCGUUUGAUACGGAUGGGCUAGAGUUCGGGAGAGGAGAGUGGAAUUCCCAGUGUAGAGGUGAAAUUCGAUAGAUAUUGGGAAGAACACCGGUGGCGAAGGCGGCCCUCUGGACCGAGACUGACGCUGAGGCGCGAAAAGCUAGGGGGAGCAAACAGG
rnacentral:rRNA from 1 species